AGAAACCAACCCUGAUGGCACCUUGAUCUUGGACUUUUGACCUCCAGAACGAAGAAAGGAAAAAGUCCAGUCUUUCAAAAGAAAGGUCUAAGCAAAGGAGAAAGAAAAAAUCACCUAAAAGAAAACACAAGGAGUAUUCUGAAGAUAGUGACAGUGACUCUGAUUCUCGAACAGACUCCAGCGGAACAUUAGCCCUGAGCUGACAUCUAUGCCAAUCUUCCUCCAUUUUCCGUGUGGGUUGCAC